rnacentral:lncRNA from 1 species
UGAAUUUCAUGGUAAUGCUUUGUUUUUGAGUGCAUACAAGCAUGAUUCCGUCUUUAAUUGUUAAUUGCAUGCUAUAUGAUGUUGCUCAAAUGAACAUGUUUUCACAAAAUAAUUUCUUCACCAAAAGCAAGCGAGAAUGGGGUUUCUCAAGCUCAAAUAGGACAACUGCCUUUGUACCAAAAGCAAGCGAGAAUGGGGUUUCUCCUAUUGAUGCCCGAUACGAAGUGCGAUAUGACCAAAGAACUUGGGGCACAAAUUCUGGCCAAUAACCUUUAGCCUUGUCCAAUCUGGUUUUUAAAGUUUGCUUGAUUAUUUUGUUGACAGCUUCAACUUGUCCAUUAGACUAGGGAUGAGCUGCGGAGGCAAAACAUAAGUUGAUGUUGAACUUAGAGUAGAACAUUCUGAACUUAUUGUUGUCAAACUAUCGCCUAUUGUCGGUGACUAUCGCAUUGGGAAUGCUGAAUCUGGAAAGGAUGUUUUUCCAAACAAAGUCUUCUAUUUUUGCCUCAGUAAUGGUUGCCAAGGGUUCUACUUCGGCCCACUUUGUGAAGUAGUCAACUGCAAUGAUUGCAUAGCGAACUUUGCCCUUCCCUGCAGGCAUUGGGCCGAUCAAAUCAAGUCCCCAUUAGGCGAAGGGCCAAUGACACACCCCGUCCCGAAGGAGGGCGUGCUGGCCGUCACGUGAGAGUGACGUAACCAUUUACACAGUUCGGAAGCUUAAAAAAAAUUUCCAAUUACUAAGAUAACACACCCGAGGGUGAGUCUUACUUUUGUGAAUUCUGUCAGAACACCGUUGGAUUCCUCGUGGCCACCAAAGCUCUGCUAACUUGAACCUGGAGGGGCGCAAAACAAAAUUGAGUGGGUCAGUAAAACAAAGUUUUUCGAAAACUUUUCAUUUAAAAUAUUUCUAACCCCUCACCGUAAAACCUGUAUACUUUCCCAGAAAAUAGUAUAUAUAUAUAACCAUAUAUAAUCUCAAAAUUCAAAUCUCAAUUCUUUAACACUUUUCAAGAAAAACAUGCCAUGCCAUAAAUCAAAAUAUAAAUCAGGUGAAAUAAGGAAUCAAUCGGAGACCCUGCAGUUGGUCCUAUACGAUUAAUUCAAUAGCUCAAUAUCUCACUAAGCCGGAGUCACCACAGUGACCUAUACGGCCCUACUCUGCACAUCACUCGGAACUACGUAAGGUAGUCUAUACGAUGAAAGGUGUAAAAUACGCUCUAGUGCUUCUCUCAUCAUAUCAUUAGCGCGCAUAUCUAAGGUCACCCACUAGUCGGAAUCACGCCUAGUGAUCUGUACGACUAGCAUGUCGGAACCCUCACAUGGUCUUUACGACAUCCACCUACUUGGAUCCAAGGCGAGCGUGCGGUGUGUGUGAAUAAAAUAAGCACUAACACCUAGGGUGCAGGUUAUGAGCUUGAAACAUCUUAUCAACAAUCAAUUAAAUGAAUAAUGAACUCACCUGACUUACCUGUGCCUCCACAGCACCAUGCAACACGUAUGCAUCAUAUAUCGAUUCAUAUAACUCAUAUGAACUUCACAUUUUCAAAUAAUUCUAUGCAUGACAUUUUUAAAGCAUAUUUUCAUAUAAAUUCAUUUUCUGGGAAAAAUCAAUAGUAUAAAGGUAAUACAAAAACAAAACUGCCCACUCACCUGGAGUUCGCCCACAACUCCCUAGUACCGUACAUCAAGGCGUCAUGACGAUUAGCGCCUAGAACAACAAUCAAAUCCAACCUCAGAAAUUCUGUCGAUAGAAUACAUAACUUAUAUAAGACACUUCACUACGUAGUUCGAUCCGGAUGAUCUGCAAUUCAGAUUUCAAAUCCGUAAACUUCCAGAGGUCCACAAUAUACCUCUAGGACAACAUCCUACAAUUUCAUUACCAUCCAACGGUCGGAUCUCCGUCAAUUUCCAAAAACUAAGUGACGGUUAACAUUCUAUUUUAUGAACUUACAACUUCAAUUCCGGAAGAUCCGUAAAAUCGGAUUCCCAAUCCGUAAGUUCCUAUAAUCCUCAAAUAUUGCGUAUUACAACGUAUCAAAGUUUGGCGACGAUCCAACGGUCGGAUCGUCAAUUCACAUUUUCACCUAACCACGAAUCGUAACCAACCUAGGUUCAAUUAUUCAAUUUACGUCCAUCAAUUAACAAAACUGAACCUAGAACCUUAAUCACAUGCUAAUAAUGACAUUGGCGGGCCAUUGGCCACGCGCCGCCGCGCGGGCCGCCGCGGGUUGGCGGUUGGCCGCCCCCGGCUCGCCGGAAAAUUCAACUAUUUCCAAAAAUUACCAAAAUUUUCAGAUUUGAAGAUCUCAAUGAGUAGAACAACUUUAAUACCUGUGGCCAAGGCCAAUUUGGCCUGGAAGUGCUUCAAUUUCACCAAAACCGUGAAGAACCCUAGAAUUUGGGUGUUUCCAAUUCGACCUUCAAACUUGUUCCAACGCUUCAAUUACCUCUUGGGCUUUGUUCUAGGUCCUAAAGUAAUGCUAAUGGUGUUAGUAAUUGAAAGAAAACAUUUCAAAAUUUGGAGAAUUUAAACAAAAGAGUCGCGGCACCCGUAGGGGUGUUCUUCGCGAAAUCACAAUGAAAUUCAAUGAUUCUUGGGGUAAAACGUGAAGAGGGAAGGCAUAGAUGUUGAUUAGAAGUGGUACCUUGACUCAAUUCGUCGGAAAUUUGGACGAAAUCCAUCGAAUUUGGGCGUGGGCACCGCCGGGUCGAAACGACCCACGGGUUCUCCCCAACCCAUUUCCUCUUUUCCUCCGCUUCUCACCCUCUCUCCCUUCCUCCUUUCCCUGUUCCGAUUGGUCAGUUUCUUCCUCUCUCUGCCUCUGAUUCGCUCUCUCUCCUUCUUCUCCGAUUGGGCAGUUUUUGCCCAAUCUCUCUUCUUCUUUUCUGUUUUCUGGUUCUUCCCACGCACACACCCACACAAAACUUUCAUUUUUCUCAUCUCAGCCAUCCAUUUCAAAAUCCUUUAAUCUGGGCCAUCCAAAUUUUAAUAAUAAAAUUCAUAAAAUGUCCAACUUCAAACUUUAAAAUCUUUUUCGUUAUAACUCCAAAUAACGAACCGUCUGCGCCUACGCGUCCGUAACGACGAGUACUACGGGGAUAUGUCAAGAAGACAAAUCUUAGAUGGCACGACACAACGAUUAACCUCGAAUGAUGUGCGUGCCUCAAAGGGCAUUUUUGUAAAAUCCUUUAUUAAAACUUUAAAAAAAUUCUUAAAAUUAGGGACGGGCUGUCACAAUCUACCCACCUUAAAGAAAUUUCGUCCUCGAAAUUUACACAAUCUUUACAAUCCAUCAAUAUCCAUGAAACAGCCCGAAACACGUCUCUCUCAUUCGAUUCUCUGACUUCUAAGUAGCUUCUUCCACUGAAAGAUUCCUCCAUAAACUUUCACCAAACUCUUAGUCUUAUUUCUCAGUACAUCAUCUUUCUAAUACAAGGUAGGCACUGGCUCCUCAUCAUAUGUCAAAUCCAAAUUGACUUCCAAAGGUUGAGGAGGUAUCACUCGUGAAGGAUAUGAGGUCUAAUGUCGAAGUAUCGAAACAUAAAACAUAUCGUGCCCUUUCGUCGACUCUGGAGGCAACUUAGCCUGUACGUAACUUCACUGACUCGUUCGAUGAUUACAGAUGGUCCGACGUAUCUAGGACUUACUUGUUUUUCUUUUUAAAACGAAUCAUACUUUUCCAAGGCGAUAAUUUCAAAAUCCUUCGAUCACCUACAUGUACAUCCGGUCAGUGGCAUGUUUGUCUGCUAAGCUCUUCAGCCGAUCCUGGCUCACUUCCAGGUUAGACUUAAUUACUCGAAUAUUCUGAAUAGCCUCAUGUACUAACUCAGGGCCUUGAAUAUCAUCCAUCCCAAAUUCUAACAACUUCGAAACACAAGACAUAGCUUUCCACGACCUUAUGGCGUUACUCUAGGGAACAAACUGAAGGGACCAACAUACCCAAGAAGUUUAACAGAUCCCAAAUCUCUUUUUCCAUAAAACAAAUAAAUAACUGUUGCGCUUGUCUGGAAAGGUUGAUGUUCUCAUACUGAAGUAACAUACGCUGACGUCACAAGUCGAUCAAUUAUUAUUCAAAUUCCAACCCAACUAUUUUGUAUACGAGGAACCUUGUCCACGAAAUCCGUAGUAAUAUUCUCCCAUUUCCGCCGUGGAAUGGGAAAUGACUACAUUAUUCCAAAAAAACUUAUUUCUUUCUGCUUUAACCUGAUGCCGGAUGAUACGCCUACUAACAUACUUCGCCAUUUCUCUUGUCAUACCCGUCAAUAGUACAUGAACGAAUGGUAUGAUAAAUCUUAGUACUCCCGGGAUGCAUUGUAGAAGUGGAACAAUGUACAUCGUCAAAAUUGCUCUCUUUAAUUCCAUACCAUUAAGCAUAAACACUUUGUUCCCUUGCAUAAGCUUGUCAUCUGAUUCUCUAGCUCUAAGGUCUUUCUUUUUCCCGUUAUUCCUUGCUUAAAUAAAUUCUUGAAUUUCAUCGUCAAACGCUUGAGUCUCGAGUACGAUCUACCAAAUUGGUCCAACUUGGAAAUAAGCAAGUAAGGCUUCUUCUCGAUUUUUUAUUUUUAUUUUUUUUUAUUUAUUUAUUUAUUUUUUUUAUACUCAACUUUACUCCAGUAGAUCUCAAAUCCACAAGAAGAUGAACAUAGCAAGCGUACCAAGCAUUAAUUCUCACUGGGGUCUUCCUACUAAAUGCAUCAGCCACAACAUUAGUUCGACCACCCUCAUUGCACAAUCAUAAUCACUAAGCAACUCAAUCCACCUUUGUUGCCUAAGAUUAAUAUCUCUCCGCGUAAACAUAUAUUGGAGACUCCUUGAUUCGUAACAAUCUUGCACUUUUCUUCCCAUAAAGACAAUGUCUCCAAAUCUUCAAAGCAAAGAUAAUAGCUGCUAAUUCCAAAUCAUAAUUAGGGUAAUUCAUCUCAUGAGAUCUCAAUGGCCAUAAAGCAUAGGCAAUCAUCCAACCAUGUUGCAUCAACACGCAUCCAAGAACAUCCAACGUAGCAUCACUAUAAACCUUAUAAUUACCGCUAUAAUCUGGAAGCGUUAAAACAGGCGUGAGAGUGAGAUAAUACUUCAGCUGCUGAAACCUUGCUCACAAUUUCAUCCACUCAAACCUAACCUCUUUUCUCAUCAAUCUCGCCAAAAGCCAAGCAGUGAUUAAAAUCUUGGACGAACUAUCGACAAUAUCCUGUUAAUCCGAGAAAACUCUGAACCUCAGUCACAGUUCGCAAUUGUUCCAAAUUCUCAAUCGUUGUUACUCUUUUAAGAAUCCACUUGAAUACCUUAAGUAGGAAUAACAUGUCUAAAAAAUGUCACUUGAUUCAUCCAACGUUAGCAUUUGCUAAACUCAGCAUACAUCAACGUUCCCUCAAUCUUUGCAACAUCAAUUUAAAAUAUCUAGCAUGCUCCUCUCUAAUCUUAUCAAUCUCGUCAAUGGCAACAACAACAAACCGGUCUAGAUAUCACUGGAAUACUUCCUUCAGCAAAUUCAUAAAAGUAGUAGGUGCAUUCGUCACUCCGAAUGGCAUCCCAACUUGAAAUGACCAUAACGAGUCCUGAAUUCAGUCUUAUGAACAUCCUCACUGCUAAUCUUCAACUAAUAUCAUUCAGACCUCAAGUCAAUCUCAGAAAGUACCCAGGCGCCUCAGAGCUGAUCAAAUAAUCAUCAAUACACAACAAUGGAUAACAGUUCUCAAUCGUUACUCGAUUCAAUUACCUAAUAUCAAUGCCUAGCCUUAAUGCCCAUUUUCUUCCUCACAAAUAAACCGGAGCUUUUCCACUGUGAUAUAAUAAGUUGAAUGGAACUUUUAACUCAACCUGAACCAAUCUCAAACAUAGGAUUUGUACCUAAAAACAAUUCAAUAAUAAAACCCACAUCUCUGCCUGGCGGCAAUCUAGGUAAGGCAUCUGGGAAAACACCAAGAAAAUGUCUAACCAUCUUUACAUCUUCCAUACUAUUAGGAUCAACAUCAUUUAGCACCAUAUGAACUCAAUAUCUUGGCAGCCUUUUGAUAACAAUCUUCUUUGCUCUCUCAACAGGAAUGAUGGCAUAACUCAUUCCACUUUACUUACCCCCAAAAGUAAUCUUUGGUCAUCCAGGUCGACAAAAAUUAACUGAUUCCCCAUAGCAAUCUAGCUUGGCACAAAUAUACAUUUCCCUUACUCGAGUCACCUUGUCUUUGAGAUCUGGGAUCACUAGUAAAUCUAUCACUUCGCCUCGAACCAGUGGCAGUAGAACCUAAGCUGGGAAAAUUAGCUCUAAUUUCACUUCCUUUGAAGCUCUGAGUCUUUCGAUGUCCUUGAUAUGACGGAUCUUUAACUUUCUCGCCUUUCCUCUAAUUACCAUUCUUUUCUUAUCCUUCUUUACUCUCGUUGAUCAUAUUCUCAAAGUCUUCAAAGCCCAACAACAUCUCGUAAACUCCUGGUAAAAAGCAUAAUGGAUAAUGGUCGCCAAAGAACGCCACUUCUUCUUAUUAUCCAGCCUAAAACAACAUAACACUUCAACCAACUAAGCAACAAUAUCCAAAUGGAAACGAGGCAAAUCUAAAAAUUUUCUAUAAUACUCAUUUGCCAUCAUCUUCCUUGUUUCACCUUUGCAAACUCUUGCUUACUACCAUCAUAAUAUACCGGAGGAAUAAAUCUUUUCUUUAAUAAUUCCUUAAAUAAUUCUCAAUCAGCUGUUUCCUCCGGUGACAACGAAUAAUACUCCUGUUUCCACCAGGAUACAAAUUCAUAACCCACAACCAGGUAGUCGUCUCGACCCACCUGUCAGAAGGAAGAUUCUUUUGACUUGCAUAACCCAAAACGUCUUUUCCAAGUGACUAAGUCAACACUCUGCUCCCUUAGGUUCAUAAUUUCCAUAAAGUGAUUCAACUUCAACUUAUAACCAGUCUCAAAGGGUCCUUUAGAUAAUAGACUGAAUCACAAUGACAAUAGUCUCCCCCCAAACUACUAUAUCAGGGAAAUUAGGCUCAUCCCAACUACGUGGCUCGCUACGAGGCGGUAAAGUUCUGACAGAAGACACUAGGAAAUUCUCAAGAUGUCCAAAAUUGCAACCUAGGCUCUGAUACCAACUGACACACCCCGUCCCGAAGGAGGGCGUGCUGGCCGUCACGUGAGAGUGACGUAACCAUUUACACAGUUCGGAAGCUUAAAAAAAAUUUCCAAUUACUAAGAUAACACACCCGAGGGUGAGUCUUACUUUUGUGAAUUCUGUCAGAACACCGUUGGAUUCCUCGUGGCCACCAAAGCUCUGCUAACUUGAACCUGGAGGGGCGCAAAACAAAAUUGAGUGGGUCAGUAAAACAAAGUUUUUCGAAAACUUUUCAUUUAAAAUAUUUCUAACCCCUCACCGUAAAACCUGUAUACUUUCCCAGAAAAUAGUAUAUAUAUAAACCAUAUAUAUAAUCUCAAAAUUCAAAUCUCAAUUCUUUAACACUUUUCAAGAAAAACAUGUCAUGCCAUAAAUCAAAAUAUAAAUCAGGUGAAAUAAGGAAUCAAUCGGAGACCCUGCAGUUGGUCCUAUACGAUUAAUUCAAUAGCUCAAUAUCUCACUAAGCCGGAGUCACCACAGUGACCUAUACGGCCCUACUCUGCACAUCACUCGGAACUACGUAAGGUAGUCUAUACGAUGAAAGGUGUAAAAUACGCUCUAGUGCUUCUCUCAUCAUAUCAUUAGCGCGCAUAUCUAAGGUCACCCACUAGUCGGAAUCACGCCUAGUGAUCUGUACGACUAGCAUGUCGGAACCCUCACAUGGUCUGUACGACAUCCACCUACUUGGAUCCAAGGCGAGCGUGCGGUGUGGUGAAUAAAAUAAGCACUAACACCUAGGGUGCAGGUUAUGAGCUUGAAACAUCUUAUCAACAAUCAAUUAAAUGAAUAAUGAACUCACCUGACUUACCUGUGCCUCCACAGCACCAUGCAACACGUAUGCAUCAUAUAUCGAUUCAUAUAACUCAUAUGAACUUCACAUUUUCAAAUAAUUCUAUGCAUGACAUUUUUAAAGCAUAUUUUCAUAUAAAUUCAUUUUCUGGGAAAAAUCAAUAGUAUAAAGGUAAUACAAAAACAAAACUGCCCACUCACCUGGAGUUCGCCCACAACUCCCUAGUACCGUACAUCAAGGCGUCAUGACGAUUAGCGCCUAGAACAACAAUCAAAUCCAACCUCAGAAAUUCUGUCGAUAGAAUACAUAACUUAUAUAAGACACUUCACUACGUAGUUCGAUCCGGAUGAUCUGCAAUUCAGAUUUCAAAUCCGUAACUUCCAGAGGUCCACAAUAUACCUCUAGGACAACAUCCUACAAUUUCAUUACCAUCCAACGGUCGGAUCUCCGUCAAUUUCCAAAACUAAGUGACGGUUAACAUUCUAUUUUAUGAACUUACAACUUCAAUUCCGGAAGAUCCGUAAAUCGGAUUCCCAAUCCGUAAGUUCCUAUAAUCCUCAAAUAUUGCGUAUUACAACGUAUCAAAGUUUGGCGACGAUCCAACGGUCGGAUCGUCAAUUCACAUUUUCACCUAACCACGAAUCGUAACCAACCUAGGUUCAAUUAUUCAAUUUACGUCCAUCAAUUAACAAAACUGAACCUAGAACCUUAAUCACAUGCUAAUAAUGACAUUGGCGGGCCA